rnacentral:rRNA from 1 species
GAUGAACGCUAGCGGCAGGCCUAAUACAUGCAAGUCGAACGGGAUCCAGAUCAAAGCUUGCUUUGGUUUGGUGAGAGUGGCGUACGGGUGCGUAACGCGUGAGCAACCUACCCUUGUCAGGGGGAUAGCCCGGCGAAAGUCGGAUUAAUACCGCAUGACAUCAUUGAGAGGCAUCUUUCGAUGAUCAAAGAUUUAUCGGACAAGGAUGGGCUCGCGUGACAUUAGCUAGUUGGUAAGGUAACGGCUUACCAAGGCCACGAUGUCUAGGGGCUCUGAGAGGAGAAUCCCCCACACUGGUACUGAGACACGGACCAGACUCCUACGGGAGGCAGCAGUAAGGAAUAUUGGUCAAUGGACGGAAGUCUGAACCAGCCAUGCCGCGUGCAGGAAGACGGCCCUAUGGGUUGUAAACUGCUUUUAUACGGGAACAAACGUCGGUACGUGUACCGGUCUGAGUGUACCGUAAGAAUAAGAAUCGGCUAACUCCGUG